AGUGAACGCUGGCGGCAGGCCUAAUACAUGCAAGUCGAACGGCAGCACAGCAGAGCUUGCUCUGUGGGUGGCGAGUGGCGGACGGGUGAGGAAUACAUGGGAAUCUGCCCAGUCGUGGGGGAUAACGUAUGGAAACGUACGCUAAUACCGCAUGCGCCCUUUGGGGGAAAGCCGGGGACCUUCGGGCCUGGCGCGAUGGGAUGAGCCCAUGUUCGAUUAGCUAGUUGGCGGGGUAAAGGCCCACCAAGGCGACGAUCGAUAGCUGGUCUGAGAGGAUGAUCAGCCACACUGGAACUGAGACACGGCCCAGACUCCUACGGGAGGCAGCAGUAGGGAAUAUUGGACAAUGGGCGCAAGCCUGAUCCAGCCAUGCCGCGUGAGUGAAGAAGGCCCUCGGGUUGUAAAGCUCUUUUGUCCGGAAAGAAAAGCAUUCGGUUAAUACCCGGGUGUUCUGACGGUACCGGAAGAAUAAGCACCGGCUAACUUCGUG
rnacentral:rRNA from 1 species